rnacentral:rRNA from 1 species
CUUAGAGUUUGAUCCUGGCUCAGGAUUAACGCUGGCGGCAUGCCUAAUACAUGCAAGUCGAACGGAGCACUUCGGUGCUUAGUGGCGAACGGGUGAGUAACACGUAGGUAACAUAACUAUAAGCCGAGGAUAACGGUUGGAAACGACUGCUAAGACUGGAUAGGAACUAAGAGGGCAUCCUUUUAGUUUUAAAGGACCACUGGUACACUUAUAGAAUGACCUGCGGCGCAUUAGCUAGUUGGUAAGGUAGAGGCUUACCAAGGCGAUGAUGCGUAGCCGGACUGAGAGGUUGAACGGCCACAUUGGGACUGAGACACGGCCCAGACUCCUACGGGAGGCAGCAGUAGGGAAUUUUCGGCAAUGGGGGGAACCCUGACCGAGCAAUGCCGCGUGAAUGAAGAAAUACUUCGGUAUGUAAAGUUCUUUUAUUUGGGAAGAACGGUUGGUGGAAAAGCCAAAGUGACGGUACCAAAUGAAUAAGCCCCGGCUAACUAUGUGCCAGCAGCCGCGGUAAUACAUAGGGGGCAAGCGUUAUCCGGAAUUAUUGGGCGUAAAGGGUGCGUAGGCGGUUAGUAAAGUUUAGGGUAUAAGCUCAUGGCUCAACCAUGGGAGGCUUUAAAAACUGGCUAACUUGAGUGCAGAAGAGGCAAGUGGAAUUCCAUGUGUAGCGGUAAAAUGCGUAAAUAUAUGGAGGAACACCGGUGGCGAAGGCGGCUUGCUGGUCUGUAACUGACGCUGAGGCACGAAAGCGUGGGGAGCAAACAGGAUUAGAUACCCUGGUAGUCCACGCCGUAACCGAAGAGUACUAAUUGUUGGAAAAAAUCAGUGCUGAAACUAAC